rnacentral:lncRNA from 1 species
UGCCUCUGGGGUCCGGCUUGAACACUUGCUGGCUGGGGGAGCCCUGCAGGGAAGAUGAGGCAUCAGGGGACUGAAGUCUGCCAGCAGGGAUCGGGCUUGUGAUUACAUCCCAUGGGUGGCCCCCUGGUGACAUUAGAUCAGGGGCUGCCCUGUGUAGAGAGCUGGUGUUUCUUGGGACACAGUGGUGGCUUGCGAAUGGCUGUGGGCGCAGAGGCUGCAGUGAGCAUGUUUCAUUUUGCCACACGGGGGAAUGCUCUUCCUACACCAGGUGCCUUCCGUGGGCCUAAAUAUUUCAGUGGCAGGCAGGGAGGAGACCAAAUGUGCUGACCCUGUUGAGUGAGCCGGUGGCUUCAGAAGCGGUGGAAAGACAGUGGUGAAACGUUAAGGUCAUCACUUCAGGAGUGCAAGUGAAUGCUCACUGGAAUUAACCAACGGAACAGUAGAGGGACACGUGUGAGCGACAAACCACACCCCAAGGGCUUGCUCGCCACAUGCGCCUCCCUGCGGGCUGGGAAGCACUUGCUGUUGGAAAGGACUCUGUUAUUUAGAGUCAAAACAGAUUUUCUCUUGUCUCACGUCCUUCCUUUUUUAAGCUAACCGUUCCCAUU